rnacentral:rRNA from 1 species
UACAGAGGGGGCAAGCGUUGUUCGGAAUUACUGGGCGUAAAGGGCGCGUAGGCGGCCUUCUAAGUCGAACGUGAAAUCCCCGGGCUCAACCCGGGAACUGCGUCCGAGACUGGAAGGCUUGAAUCCGGGAGAGGGAUGUGGAAUUCCAGGUGUAGCGGUGAAAUGCGUAGAUAUCUGGAGGAACAUCGGUGACGAAGGCGGCAUCCUGGACCGGUAUUGACGCUGAGGCGCGAAAGCCAGGGGAGCAAACGGG